rnacentral:piRNA from 1 species
UAUACAUUAAUGUAUUAUGGACU